CAAAUCGUACCCCAAACCGACACAGGUGGUCAGGUAGAGAAUACCAAGGCGCUUGAGAGAACUCGGGUGAAGGAACUAGGCAAAAUGGUGCCGUAACUUCGGGAGAAGGCACGCUGAUAUGUAGGUGAAGUCCCUCGCGGAUGGAGCUGAAAUCAGUCGAAGAUACCAGCUGGCUGCAACUGUUUAUUAAAAACACAGCACUGUGCAAACACGAAAGUGGACGUAUACGGUGUGACGCCUGCCCGGUGCCGGAAGGUUAAUUGAUGGGGUCAGCGCAAGCGAAGCUCUUGAUCGAAGCCCCGGUAAACGGCGGCCGUAACUAUAACGGUCCUAAGGUAGCGAAAUUCCUUGUCGGGUAAGUUCCGACCUGCACGAAUGGCGUAAUGAUGGCCAGGCUGUCUCCACCCGAGACUCAGUGAAAUUGAACUCGCUGUGAAGAUGCAGUGUACCCGCGGCAAGACGGAAAGACCCCGUGAACCUUUACUAUAGCUUGACACUGAACAUUGAGCCUUGAUGUGUAGGAUAGGUGGGAGGCUUUGAAGUGUGGACGCCAGUCUGCAUGGAGUCGACCUUGAAAUACCACCCUUUAAUGUUUGAUGUUCUAACGUGGACCCGUGAUCCGGGUUGCGGACAGUGUCUGGUGGGUAGUUUGACUGGGGCGGUCUCCUCCUAAAGAGUAACGGAGGAGCACGAAGGUUGGCUAAUCCUGGUCGGACAUCAGGAGGUUAGUGCAAUGGCAUAAGCCAGCUUGACUGCGAGCGUGACGGCGCGAGCAGGUGCGAAAGCAGGUCAUAGUGAUCCGGUGGUUCUGAAUGGAAGGGCCAUCGCUCAACGGAUAAAAGGUACUCCGGGGAUAACAGGCUGAUACCGCCCAAGAGUUCAUAUCGACGGCGGUGUUUGGCACCUCGAUGUCGGCUCAUCACAUCCUGGGGCUGAAGUAGGUCCCAAGGGUAUGGCUGUUCGCCAUUUAAAGUGGUACGCGAGCUGGGUUUAGAACGUCGUGAGACAGUUCGGUCCCUAUCUGCCGUGGGCGAUGGAGAACUGAGGGGGGCUGCUCCUAGUACGAGAGGACCGGAGUGGACGCAUCACUGGUGUUCGGGUUGUCAUGCCAAUGGCACUGCCCGGUAGCUAAAUGCGGAAGAGAUAAGUGCUGAAAGCAUCUAAGCACGAAACUUGCCCCGAGAUGAGUUCUCCCUGACCCUUUAAGGGUCCUGAAGGAACGUUGAAGACGACGACGUUGAUAGGCCGGGUGUGUAAGCGCAGCGAUGCGUUGAGCUAACCGGUACUAAUGAACCGUGAGGCUUAACCUU
rnacentral:rRNA from 1 species